rnacentral:rRNA from 1 species
GAUGAACGCUAGCGGGAGGCCUAAUACAUGCAAGUCGAGCGGUAGAGUGACUUCGGUUGCUUGAGAGCGGCGCACGGGUGAGUAACGCGUACAUGACCUACCUUUAAGACUGGGAUAGCCCUGGGAAACUGGGAUUAAUACCGGAUGUGAUAAUACGUAUAGAGAUGUAUUAUUAAAGUUGAGGCGCUUAGAGAUGGAUGUGCGUCUGAUUAGCUAGUUGGUAGGGUAACGGCCUACCAAGGCGACGAUCAGUAGGGGGCGUGAGAGCGUGGCCCCCCACACGGGUACUGAGACACGGACCCGUACUCCUACCGGGAGGGCAGCAGUAAGGAAUAUUGGUCAAUGGACGGAAGUCUGAACCAGCCAUCCGCGUGCAGGAUGACUGCCCUAUGGUUGUAAACUGCUUUUAGCAGAGACGAAACGCUUCAUUUAUGUAGGGUCUGACGGUAUCUGCAGUAAUAAGCACCGGCUAACUCCGUGCCAGCAGCCGCGGU